rnacentral:rRNA from 1 species
UACGGAGGGGGCUAGCGUUGUUCGGAAUUACUGGGCGUAAAGCGCACGUAGGCGGCUUUGCAAAGUUAGAGGUGAAAGCCCGGGGCUCAACUCCGGAAUUGCCUUUAAAACUGCAUCGCUAGAAUUGUGGAGAGGUAAGUGGAAUUCCGAGUGUAGAGGUGAAAUUCGUAGAUAUUCGGAAGAACACCAGUGGCGAAGGCGACUUACUGGACACAUAUUGACGCUGAGGUGCGAAAGCGUGGGGAGCAAACAGGG